rnacentral:piRNA from 1 species
AGAAAAAUGAGUGUCUAGGAAAGAGUUCC